CCUACGGGAGGCAGCAGUGAGGAAUAUUGGUCAAUGGACGGAAGUCUGAACCAGCCAUGCCGCGUGCAGGAAGACGGCUCUAUGAGUUGUAAACUGCUUUUGUACAAGGGUAAACCUGAAUACGUGUAUUCAGCUGAAAGUACUGUACGAAUAAGGAUCGGCUAACUCCGUGCCAGCAGCCGCGGUAAUACGGAGGAUCCAAGCGUUAUCCGGAUUUAUUGGGUUUAAAGGGUGCGUAGGCGGAUUGAUAAGUUAGAGGUGAAAUGUCCGAGCUUAACUCGGGAACUGCCUCUAAUACUGUUGGUCUAGAGAGUAGAUGAGGCAGGCGGAAUGUAUGGUGUAGCGGUGAAAUGCUUAGAGAUCAUACAGAACACCGAUUGCGAAGGCAGCUUACCAAUCUAUAUCUGACGUUGAGGCACGAAAGCGUGGGGAGCAAACAGGAUUAGAUACCCGGGUAGUC
rnacentral:rRNA from 1 species